rnacentral:sRNA from 1 species
UCCACCGUGUACCUACCCCCGGCCGUGGAAGUGAGAUACGGAUCUGGGUUUGUCCAUUUAACACUUCAGGGUUCCAUUCGGCUAACUUGUAAAGUGCGUGAGAACUAUCCUUUAGCUGUUGGGAGUGUCGGUUUAGAAUGCUGGAAAAGUAUUGGAGAGUUCCCAACAAUUCAGCUGGAACUCCUUCGGCUAUUUGGUUUACCCAUUCUUGGAUCUUGCAUUCCAUGAGAUUCAGGAAUUGAACUUCAGAAAAGGCCGCGUGCGCGAACAACGGUAUGCACAUCGAAAGCGGAUCGUGAGGUGCGAGACGA